rnacentral:rRNA from 1 species
GCUUACGGCCACACCGGCCUGAGUACGCCUGAUCUCGUCCGAUCUCGGAAGCUAAGCAGGUCGGGCCUGGUUAGUACUUGGAUGGGAGACCGCCUGGGAUACCAGGUGCUGUAAGCU